rfam:Triticum aestivum genome assembly, contig: Triticum_aestivum_CS42_TGACv1_scaffold_195878_3AL
AUGGUACUCCCUCCGUCCCAAAAUAAGUGUCUCAACUUUGUACUAACUCGCUUGAGACACUUAUUUUGGGACGGAGGGAGUAUCUG